CGGCCUUCCCUUGCUCCUCUCUCCGCCUCAGUGUAGUCGGGCAGCUUCGCAGUAAGGAGAGACAAAGGAGGAGGCGCGAGAAACACAAAAAAGAACAAAGCAGAAGACAAGAAGAGCGACGUGUUUGUGUGCUUCGUUGUUGUGUGCUCCUCAUCGCCGGUGAUCUGCACUUCCUUUUUGUGUGUGCCAUGCGUCCUCCUCAGCUUCCCUGGUUGUCUCUGGCACCGCUUCAUAUUCCUCAGUUGCAGAGAGUCACAACUCCGCCUUCUUACCCCACCCCUUCCGCAAGCCGUGAUGACACUGAACACGAAUACGCACACACACGCACACACUACAUGUGUUCUUCUCUUUCUGUUUUUGUUUUCCUUGAUGAGUGUGACUGAGUGUGAUGACAAUUGGCUAUAAAGAACACAAGCAACAACAGGAAAAAAAAACAGCUGAGCAAGCAGCGACUCUGACGACGUGUGCUGACGCGAUGGAGAAGACAGAGGGAUUUGUGUGCGCCAAAAUUCGACAGCGCGGAGGGAGAUGUCUGUGAGGGCAACAUACGGGCCCCUCUCUCGAAAUGUGUGUAUCUCCAGUUAUCCUCGGAUUGGUGCGUAGCACCCCACCCCCGUCUGAGAAUUCUCGCGACUUUGGUCCGUUACCUCCCCUUCCCGAUGAUGCACGGGUGUUACCAGUUUCAGUCGUCACGAUAUGACACCGACUCGCACCUUCUAUAUUUCUCUCACUGAUUCUUCUUUAUCACUCCACACCCCUUUGUUCUCCUCUCCCCGACUUCUUGCUUUUCUCUCCUCUCUUGGGCACUUUUACAUGUGUCGCACUUCAG
rnacentral:misc_RNA from 1 species